UGAGCUUGUUGAUGCUGUUUGCUAAUCUUCCAAAGUGUAAAAUGAGGCAUUUUUCUCUGUGCUCUUUCUAAGCAGACCAGCUCACACGGAGGAGUUGCCCCACAGUUGUGCCUGCUGCUGUUGAGCAGAUGCAGAAGAUCGCCCGAGCUGCUGGGGGUUAAGUGUCUCGCCUGAGGCUGCUGCCACCGACUAUAAGUCAGUGAGUUCAGGUUGUGGCCCAGUUGUGGAAAGAGCCUCUGGGAUGUGUACCGCUGAGCAGUGAAGCCCUGUGAGGAGCAGCCGCUUGCUCAGGCAGCAAAAUCAACACAAACUGUAAAUAUGAGGGGGAAAAUUUACCUGAAGAAGGUGACGAAGAACUGCACCAGGUCCAUGAUGCUGUUGUGCUGAGAGAAAGCAAUCUGGAAAAGAGAAAGACCAGAGAGCUCCUGAGGGAAAUGCUAAAUGCUCCCUCAUGUUCACCAGCCAGUCCCUAGAUACUGCAAGUCUGCUGCUUGCUGCAGAGCAGGUGUGUGCAGUCGGCUUUUUAGAGCUUUUUUAACUGUUAACAGGCGCCAGUUGAAGUCAAAGACGACACUAUGAGAGCAGUAGGACUGAACCAACGCAGUAACAUUGUGGCCAAACAGCGAAACAAUGAGCUGAAACCCAACGUGAACCGGUUGAUAUUUCUCUGCAAGUUCAUCGCUAUGUGUCACCCCUUUCACGUUUUCAUUAGCAAUGUUAUUAUUUGAAAUAUUUCAGUUACUGCCACAUUUGGAGCCUCUGUGGGAUGACUGUAACUGCUUCCACAGUGUUGGUUCUGAUACAAA